rnacentral:rRNA from 1 species
AUUGAACGCUGGCGGCAGGCUUAACACAUGCAAGUCGAGCGGAGUGAUGGUGCUUGCACUAUCACUUAGCGGCGGACGGGUGAGUAAUGCUUAGGAAUCUGCCUAUUAGUGGGGGACAACAUCUCGAAAGGGAUGCUAAUACCGCAUACGUCCUACGGGAGAAAGCAGGGGAUCACUUGUGACCUUGCGCUAAUAGAUGAGCCUAAGUCGGAUUAGCUAGUUGGUGGGGUAAAGGCCUACCAAGGCGACGAUCUGUAGCGGGUCUGAGAGGAUGAUCCGCCACACUGGGACUGAGACACGGCCCAGACUCCUACGGGAGGCAGCAGUGGGGAAUAUUGGACAAUGGGGGGAACCCUGAUCCAGCCAUGCCGCGUGUGUGAAGAAGGCCUUAUGGUUGUAAAGCACUUUAAGCGAGGAGGAGGCUCUUUUGGUUAAUACCCAGAAUGAGUGGACGUUACUCGCAGAAUAAGCACCGGCUAACUCUGUGCCAGCCGCCGCGGUAAAAC